UCCAAAAAAGAGAUGCAUACCAUUCAUUUAAGAUACCAGUUCAAGCAGAAGCCAGGAGCAGGGACUGGAGAUAUAAAUGGCAAUCCAAAUGCAAUGCUGAAGGAAAGGAGCAACACAUGAGUGGGAGAGAACCUGAAAACCCUCCCUCUGACCCCCAUUAAUCUUCAAGCCCAAACACCCAACCUUGGACUCUCUGCUGAUACUACAGCAUCUCAGAUACCAGGUAAAUCUCUGUUGCUAACACUGGACAUCAAGAAGAGUAUCUCUGGAGCUCAGCUUCUGCAUCUGCAAGAUGGACCAAGCCAAGCAAUGGCCCAGAAAAACACAGCUAAGUAAUUCCGAAUUGCUGGAUGACCCAAUAGACAAAGUAAGUAGAUAUUUAAAACACAGGCAAGACAAAGAAGAGAGAUUCAA